GACGAACCGAGCGAACGUUGUUCGGAAUCACUGGGCUUAAAGGGCGCGUAGGCGGGUGCUCAAGUCUGUGGUGAAAUCCUCCGGCUCAACCGGAGAACUGCCGUGGAUACUGGGUGCCUCGAGGGUGGUAGGGGUAUGCGGAACUAUCGGUGGAGCGGUGAAAUGCGUUGAUAUCGAUAGGAACUCCGGUGGCGAAGGCGGCAUACUGGACCACAUCUGACGCUGAGGCGCGAAAGCCAGGGGAGCAAACGGG
rnacentral:rRNA from 1 species